rnacentral:rRNA from 1 species
AAAUAGAACUUUGCAGAGAGAGUUAACAGGGCGUGAAACCGUUAAUUGGCAAACGAAUCGGAGCCACGAAGUCGUUUCGUUGUUUAGUCUGGAUCAGGUUCAGCAGGCGGUCGCGAGGCCCCUGUGUAGUCCUGGGUCUGGCCAAACUUUGUAAGCGUACACUGCAACCAGUUAGACGAUCAGUAGUGGGUUUAGUGUCCAUGCUCGGUAGUAGUAGCGCGGUGGCGUUUCGGCGCCUCUCGUGUUGCUGGCCGGGUUGUGGGGGAACUACAACUGAAUACUGACUGGCGAAAUGAAAAUCGCUUCCUCGGGAGCGUUAGAGACAAGGCUGCCGGCCGCAUGCGGGCCUACACAAUCGACUGUUAGGUCUAAGCUUGGCGUUUUCGAAUUCAGACUUGCUUGCUACCAGUGGGGCAACUCCUGGUGCUUGUAUAGCUUCUGUCUAAUCAGGCGUCGACUUGGCCUGGCAUCGUUCGGUUGUGCUGCGAUUGGGUUYGUAUGCGAGUUGGUUAGCAAUGUGAAUUGGCAGUGAGUAGGUCGGCUUUCCGAACGACCCGUCUUGAAACACGGACCAAGGAGUCUAAUUAGGCAUCGAGUCGAUCGGUCUUGAAUAGGCCAGACAGAUUGUCCUCGGUCGAUGGAAGGCGUAGAGAAAUCGUGUGAUCAGCCGGCAACAACAGCCGACGUGCGCAACAUGUGCCUGUUCGUGUAGCAAUGUGCAAUAUUGCUGAGCGGAGCAGAGAGAUGCCUGAUUGGGACCCGAAAGAUGGUGAGCUUGGGCAAAUUGAAGCCAGAGGAAACUCUGGUGGAGGAUUGUAGCGAUUCUGACGUGCAAAUCGAUCGUCAGACCUGAGUAUAGGGGCGAAAGACUAAUCGAACCAUC